rnacentral:lncRNA from 1 species
GUUUAAAAAAAAAAAAAAAAAAUUGUGUGAUUUGUUUUAACAUUGGAUGACAUGAUUAAUUUCAAAUUUUAGUAUUUGUAUUAUCUUUGGUCUUAAGUGAUGUUACGCUAUGUUUGCUACUUUACAUGUUGAUGUCGGAGACAAAUGUGAGUUGCUUGAAGGAAUGAACAUGUCAUAAUAAGUACCAAGUGAGUUUUUGAGCCUAUUAUUUUUCUUGGAGAAUAACCCUUUUGCC